rnacentral:rRNA from 1 species
UACGAAGGGUGCAAGCGUUACUCGGAAUUACUGGGCGUAAAGCGUGCGUAGGUGGUCUUAUUUGUCUGAUGUGAAAGCCUUGGGCUUAACCCAAGAAGUGCGUCAGAAACGGUGAGACUAGAGUAUCGGAGAGGCGAGUGGAAUUCCCGGUGUAGCGGUGAAAUGCGUAGAGAUCGGGAGGAACACCAGAGGCGAAGGCGGCUCGCUGGACGAUGACUGACACUCAACUGCGAAAGCGUGGGGAGCAAACAGG